AACGAACGCUGGCGGCAUGCCUAACACAUGCAAGUCGAACGAUGCCUUCGGGCAUAGUGGCGCACGGGUGCGUAACGCGUGGGAAUCUGCCCUUGGCUUCGGAAUAACAGUUAGAAAUGACUGCUAAUACCGGAUGAUGUCCCCCUGAGAGAUCUUGGGGACCAAAGAUUUAUCGGCCAGGGAUGAGCCCGCGUAGGAUUAGGUAGUUGGUGGGGUAAAGGCCUACCAAGCCGACGAUCCUUAGCUGGUCUGAGAGGAGGAUCAGCCACACUGGGACUGAGACACGGCCCAGACUCCUACGGGAGGCAGCAGUGGGGAAUAUUGGACAAUGGGGGGAACCCUGAUCCAGCAAUGCCGCGUGAGUGAUGAAGGCCUUAGAGUUGUAAAGCUCUUUUACCAGGGAUGAUAAUGACAGUACCUGGAGAAUAAGCUCCGGCUAACUCCGUG
rnacentral:rRNA from 1 species